CAGUCGCCGCGGUAAUACAGAGGGUGCAAGCGUUAAUCGGAAUUACUGGGCGUAAAGCGCGCGUAGGUGGUUCGCCAAGUUGGAUGUGAAAUCCCCGGGCUCAACCCUGGAACUGCCUUUGAUACUGUCGAUCUGGAGUAUGGAAGAGGUGAGUGGAAUUCCGAGUGUAGAGGUGAAAUUCGUAGAUAUUCGCAAGAACACCAGUGGCGAAGGCGGCUCACUGGCCCGAUACUGACGCUGAGGUGCGAAAGCGUGGGGAGCAAACAGGAUUAGAUACCCCGGUAGUCCCUGUCUCUUAUAC
rnacentral:rRNA from 1 species